ACCCCGAGUGCCAGCAUCAAAUGUUGGCUGUCCGGAUGAUUAAAAAUCAUUUGUUAGCAAGGGCCGGGCAAGACCGGUGCCAGCCGCCGCGGUAACACCGGCGGCCCGAGUGGUAGCCGUUUUUAUUGGGUCUAAAGGGUCCGUAGCCGGCCUGAUAAGUCCUUUGGGAAAUCUGGCAGCUUAACUGUCAGGCUUCUAAGGGAUACUGUCAGGCUUGGGACCGGAAGAGGUAAGGGGUACUCCAGGGGUAGGAGUGAAAUCUUGUAAUCCCCGGGGGACCAUCUGUGGCGAAGGCGCCUUACCAGAACGGGUCCGACGGUGAGGGACGAAAGCUAGGGGAGCAAACCGGAUUAGAUACCCGGGUAGUCCUAGCUGUAAACGAUGCUCGCUAGGUGUCAGACACGGUGCGACCGUGUUUGGUGCCGCAGGGAAGCCGUUAAGCGAGCCACCUGGGAAGUACGGUCGCAAGGCUGAAACUUAAAGGAAUUGGCGGGGGAGCACUACAACNGGUGGAGCCUGCGGUUUAAUUGGAUUCAACGCCGGAAA
rnacentral:rRNA from 1 species